AUUUAUAUUAUUAUUUCUAUAUUAGGUUCGCGAAGAUGUCCUUGGAGCUUUAAAUAAUAAUUUUCUUCAAACUUUGAACAAUGCUUGGAAUGAUCAUCAAACAUCCAUGGUAAUGAUUAGAGAUAUUCUAAUGUAUAUGGACAGAGUGUAUGUACAACAGAAUAAUGUUGACAAUGUGUACAAUCUUGGUUUAAUGAUAUUCAGAGACCAAGUAGUACGGCAUCCCAUUAUUCGA